CUCCAUCAGACCAGGUCCCUUUCCCCAUGGGAGCCUGGUGUGCAAUGGUUGCAAACAGCAGCCUCCUUGGUAGUGUAUGCAGCCUAUAUGGGCUGUCCUAAGGGACCUUGGAGAAAUUG
ensembl:snoRNA SNORA70 Small nucleolar RNA SNORA70